rnacentral:rRNA from 1 species
AGGACGAACGCUGGCGGCGUGCUUAACACAUGCAAGUCGAGCGGUAAGGCCCUUUCGGGGGUACACGAGCGGCGAACGGGUGAGUAACACGUGAGUAAUCUGCCCUCCACUUGGGGAUAAGCUUCGGAAACGGGGUCUAAUACCUGAUACGACAACUACCUGCAUGGGUUGGUUGUGGAAAGUUUUUUCGGUGGGGGAUGUGCUCGCGGCCUAUCAGCUUGUUGGUGGGGUAAUGGCCUACCAAGGCUUCGACGGGUAGCCGGCCUGAGAGGGUGACCGGCCACACUGGGACUGAGACACGGCCCAGACUCUACGGGAGCAGCAGUGGGAAUAUUGGACAAUGGGCGGAAGCCUGAUCCAGCAACGCCGCGUGGAGGGAUGGACGGCCGUUCGGUUGUAACCUACUUCUAGACCGACGAAGCGCCGUGUGGUCGGUGUACGGAGGUAGAGAAAGAAGACACCGGCCAACUACG